rnacentral:rRNA from 1 species
GUAGUCAUAUGCUUGUCUCAAAGAUUAAGUCAUGCAUGUCUAAGUAUAAGCAAUUAUACCGUGAAACUGCGAAAGGCUCAUUAAAUCAGCUAUGGUUUCUUAGAUCAUUGAACAUUACAUGGAUAACUGUGGUAAUUCUAGAGCUAAUACAUGAAACAAAGCCUUGACCUUACGGGAAAGGCGCAUUUAUUAGAUCAAAACCAACCGGGCUUGCUCGUUGUUUUGGUGACUCUGGAUAACUUUGUGCAGAUCGCAUGACCUUGCGUCGGCGACGUAUCUUUCAAAUGUCUGACCUAUCAACUGUCGAUGGUAGGUGACAUGCCUACCAUGGUGACAACGGGUAACGGGGAAU